rnacentral:rRNA from 1 species
AGGUCUGGAUGAAGGGGGACACAGGGGAGAGCUGUCUCCAAUAAGGUUAAUUUAACUUUCUUAUCAGGUGAAAAUUCCUGAGCCUCCGAUGAAAGACGAGAAGACCCUUAGAGUUUUUAUUAUAACUUGAUAUAUCAAGAUUCUUGUUCUGUUUUUGUUGGGGCGACAGGGUUACAAUAGAUAACUUACCCUACCAUAUUUUUAUAUGGCGAUCAUUAUACUUUUAAUUAAGCUACCUAAGGGAUAACAGCGUAAUCUUUUUUUUUGGUUUGCGACCUCGAUGUUGGACUAGGAACUCGAAGUAGGACUAGAACCACC